UAACAAACUUACAACACUUACGUGAAUGUCACGUUUAUAUUGCUAUACUUUUUAAAUCAAACAGUGGCAGUUUUGUCUUUUUGUAAUUUAAAAAAAUAGUAUAAAAGGAGAGAAACAUUACAUAAAAAAACAAAAUAAAAAGCUUAAAAUGGCAAAGUUACCCCCGGCUCUCUCACUCGGCAUCGGCAUCGGCGGCGGCGUAGGCGUAGGCAUCGGCGGUGUAGGCAACGGCGGCGGAGGUCUCGGAGGCGGUGGCGUAGGAGGAGGAGGAACAUCGUCGUCGUUUAGUGGUGGUGCCGGAGCUCCGGCGAAUAAGGAAAGGAAGCUGCAAUCGGCGGACUAGUGGUUGAUCUAAGCAAUCCUGAGCAUCGUGAAAAUGCUCUUUUAGAGCUUUCUAAGAAGAGGGAACUUUUCCAGGAUUUGGCCCCCUUGUUGUGGAACUCAUUUGGUACUAUUGCUGCACUCCUACAGGAGAUAGUUUUUAUCUAUCCUGUUUUGUCGCCGCCAAACCUAACUCCUGCACAAUCAAAUAGAGUUUGUAAUGCACUAGCACUUCUUCAGUGCGUAGCCUCUCAUCCUGACACUAGAAUGUUGUUCCUCAACGGUAACGAUUCUCUUCCUCUUUUUUUAAAGUUCUCUUAUCUGUUUGUCAAUGGUCAUAAGAUUGGCUUUUUUUAAAUACAAAAAAAAGCCUUUUCUGACUGUGCUUUUAGGCGGAAUGUCGUUGGAAAGCCGGAAAAUUGUCGACUAUGUUCAUUUGCAGUUGCUUGUGGAUGCAAAUUCUUUUCCAUAACAAUGGCAGGGACAUAAAAAAUCUCAAACGCUCCUCACACAUUUCUUAUGCCACCAACACUUGCUUGGUGCUUUUCACGUAAAUUUUUUUCAAAAUAAAGACCUUCUUUCCUUGACAGUCGCUGAUGUCCAUAAAGAGGAAGAAAUGAGGAUUACAUGUUUGUG